rfam:Klebsiella pneumoniae subsp. pneumoniae MGH 78578, complete sequence.
AUUCUGCCCCACGGGGAAGGAUGAGAAGCUUCGACCAAGGUUCGACUCGAGCGAAACGAGAGAACGUUGCCGCAGGCAACGGCCCGAAGGGCGAGGCGCUUUAGCGCCGAGUAAUCCUUCCCCCACCACCA